CAGCACCUCAAGUGGUCAGGAUGAUUAUUGGGCCUAAAGCAUCCGUAGCCGGCUCUGUAAGUUUUCGGUUAAAUCUGUACGCUCAACGUACAGGCUGCCGGGAAUACUGCAGAGCUAGGGAGUGGGAGAGGUAGACGGUACUCGGUAGGAAGGGGUAAAAUCCUUUGAUCUAUUGAUGACCACCUGUGGCGAAGGCGGUCUACCAGAACACGUCCGACGGUGAGGGAUGAAAGCUGGGGGAGCGAACCGGAUUAGAUACCCGAGUAGUCC
rnacentral:rRNA from 1 species